UCUCGGACUCUGUCUGGGACUGGGGUUGGGAGGCGCCCGGUCCUCAGUUCUGCUUCCCGAAGACGGGCUGGUUGGGAUCUUCUCUGACCCUAGCAGUGUACCUGCUGCACCUUUCAACCCUGGGCAUCUUCCCCGUACAUAUUAUACGUAAGACUUCGGAGGAAAAAUCAGCACGCGGUGUGGUCAGUGAAGGCAUAGACCACGUCCUGGUUUGCUCCUAGCACCUGGGACAGGGUCACAGAUGUGACCAUGAACGCCAAAGAAAUAGUUAAAAUGGCAAACUUUGUUCUAUAUGCCUUACUGCAGUAAAAAUAUUUUAAAAAUUAAGUUUUAUUACUGUGAUGGGAGUUGAAUGCACACCGGUGUGCAGUAUUUUGUCAGGUAGAGGCUGUAAAAUUGAAUGUUGUUGGAAUACUUUCCACGUCAAGCUUGUGAAGUUGGGCUACAACUUUUUUGUCAUUAGUGUCUGAUAUUGCUGUUCAAAUCAGCCAGCACUUGAGGUUUGCUGGAUGUGGCCAAUUGUCCCGUUUGCUCAGGACUGAAAGGAUUCUUGGGUUAGAGAUUUUUAGUGCUAAAACUGGGAAGGUCCUGGGAAAGACAGGAAAAUUUGAUCGCCUUACCACUAACCCUAAAAUAUUAUGUCAAAAAUUUUGCCCAAUCCCCAAAUCAAUUCUCUGCCUUGAAAGAACUGUUAUAAACCAUUUGUAGUCAGACCCCCAAAUUCUACAAAUUUCACCCCCUGAGACUACUAAACUUCUGUCAAAGGGUUGUGCUCCUUUACCUUGGUAGAGUAAACAUAGUUUUCUCUGAUUAACAGGCCAUUCUGCUGCUCUGUGGGGGACAUGGCAUUUAUUUUAUGUUUUCCGUACUGUGGUUUGGCCUAUGUUGUCUGUGGAAAUGACAAUUAUUUAAGGAUAAGGAGUAUUUCUUUUAUAAUAACCACACAACCCUUACUUGCUUGUAUUGAUGUACACUCAAAUGCUGUUAAUGUUUUUACUAUGAAGAAAAUUAUUCAAGGUAAAACUGUUACCAAGUUAGUACCAUCUUGAGGAGGGGAGAGGGCCAGGAAAAUAAAGGUAUUGUCUUACUUUGAACUACAAGCGACUGCAUAAUUUGAUGAUAAGAUUUUGUUAUGUAUUUAGGUAACAAAACAAUCUUCUAAUGGAUCUAAUUCCUACAAAGUUAAUUUUCCUUUCUCUUUAUUUUUAAUGCCUGAGCUACAAUGGAGAGCUGCCUUCUGUACAUCAAUCUCCUCAGGCUGGCAUUGGUGGAUGGAGAGAGAGAGAGAAGUGGGGGAAUACAGGAGUAUAAAGGAGCAUGCUGGCGAAUACCUUCUGAAAUUUGAAGUUCCAGAGACUCAACCACAACCAAAACUCAACCAAACUCAACCAAAACUCUUAGAGGUGAUCAAGGACUACAGUAGCAUCUCAGGGUACAAAAUCAAUACUUACAAAUAAGUAGCUUUUAUAUAUACCAAUAAUAGUCAAGCCGAAAAAACAGUCAAGGACUCUAUUCCCUUUACAGUUGUGCCAAAGAAGAUGAAAUAUUUGGGAAUUUACCUAACAAAGGAUGUGAAAGACCUCCAUAAAGAGAAUUAUGAAACUCUGAGAAAAGAAGUAGCUGAAGAUGUUAGCAAACGGAAAAACAUACCAUGCUCAUGGCUAGGAAGAAUCAACAUUGUUAAAACGUCCAUAUUACCCAAAGCAAUUUACAAAUUUAAUGUGAUCCCUAUCAAAGCACAACCGUCAUACUUUAAAGAUCUGGAAAAAAUAGUACUUUAUUUUAUAUGGAACCAUAAAAAACAUCAAAUAGCCAAGACAUUACUCAGAAAUAAAAAAAGGAGGAAUCAUGCUACCAGACUUCAAACUAUACUUUAAAUCUAUAGUGAUCAAAACAGCAUGGUAUUGGAAAAAUAAAGAGGUAGAUGUAUGGAAUAGAAUUGAGAACCAAGAGAUGAACCCAGACACUUAUCGUCAUUUGAUCUUUACUAAGCCUAUCAAAAAUAUAAAUUGGGGGAAAGAUUCCCUAUUUAACGAAUGGUGCUGGGAGAAUGGGCUGGUGACUUGUAGAAGACUGAAACUGGACCCACACCUUUCACCAUUAACAAAAAUUGACUCUCACUGGAUAAAAGAUUUAAACUUAAGACAUGAAACUAUAAAGAUUCUUGAGAGAGUGCAGGAGAAACACUUGAAGAAAUUGGCCUGGGAAAAUACUUUAUGUGGAGGACCCCAGGCAAUUGAAGCAACACCAAAAAUACAUUACUGAGAUCCGAUCAAACUUAAAAGCUUCUGCACAGCCAAGAACAUAACUCCAUAACCCUAAAGAGAAAGGAGGAAAAAAAGUGACAGUUUUGAAAGUUUCUAUUGCAAGAGUAAUCUGUACUUUAACCAGAGACUUUCUGAGCAAGAGGGAUGGUAACAUGACAGAACAUGAUCCUGGGAACUGAAAUAGGAUCUUAAGCUCUUCCUGAUGAAACUAAGGGAGACAAAGGAAGCCAAGAAUGGAGACUCCUAGCUGCUCGAAGGGAACCAGCUCAAGGUGUUGCUGUCUCUGCCGUGGUAGCCUUUCUGUACCCAGGAAUCUGAA